AAGUUCUCCCAGACUGUAACUGUGAGAAACUUUCCCUGUACAGAGCACUUUUCCUGGAGGAGGUUGUUUGAGUCCUCACCACUAACAAUAUUUCCAAAAGUGACACUAUCGCAGAAAGCACAACAUAAGCAUUGAUUAAAAAAAGCAUCAAAUGCACAUGUGUUCAGCACAGGAAUUCUUGAUUUCCUGAGUUUAACAGGCUGUUGAUUAUUUCCAUUUUUCAACAGUUCCACUUUCAGUCUUUUCCCCCUCACGGGUGAAUCUGCAUGGAGUCAUUCAGGACAAGGAGAGAGAACAAAUUCGCAUAUUGCCCUCAAUGAAGGACAGAUGUUGUGCAAUUAACCAAUCCACCCGAAUAGGCAAGUUUUCAUGCUUGAAAGGCCCGCGUUUGAUGUUUAUGAACUCUGCUUCAACAUUGGCUGAACUUGCGGUGAUGAUGGUGCUUCGGAAGUGAGGGAUCAUUACCCCUGUCCAGAGUGGUCUGUCUGUGUUUGGUCAAAUGGAUCCACUUCUUCCAAGUCCUCACCCUCUACAACUGGAAUGAUUACACACUCUUUUGCAAUUCGGGCUUUCAGGUAUUUCUUGUACCUUUCUGAUAUAAGGGGGGCUCCAGAGCUGUCAUUUCUCUCUGCUUCGCUGAGAGCCACAACAGUAAUAUGGCAUAGUAGCUCUCUUGCAUUGUCCAUGGAUUGUGACUUGAGAAGCUCUGCCAUUGUCCUCAUAAAGAAAUCUUUAAUCUUUGUGGUUUUUUCUUCAAGCAGUCCCUCAGGCUGAUGAUGCAGUGUGCAACAUCAACUUGAACAAAAUGAAGUGGCACUUUUGCUGACUCUUUACUGAGUAAGACACCACAACACUCAUUGAUGUAGGUCUUCAGAUCAGGAUGAGGAGUAAAAACCUUGACCAGAGCUCUGAGCAAAGCCAGAGAAAAGUCACUCACAACCUCUUUUGGAAUUCCAUUAUGUCAGCCAAUGUGUCAUUGCAUUAACAUUCAAUUCAAUUAAAUUAAAAUUUAUUUGU